CUCCUGCACAAUGACAUGUCAUACUAUACUCCUGCCAUGACAUGUCAUUACUCAUACUCCGCCAUGACAUGUCAUUACUAUACUCCUGCCAUGACAUGAAUUCACUAUAAUCCCGCAAUGACAUGUAAUCACUAUCUCCUCCUGCCAUGACAAGUUAUCACUAUACUCCUGCCAUGACAUUAAUACCCAUACUCCUGCAUGACAUGUCAUCACUAUACUCCGCCCUACACUGUAAUCCACUACUACUCCUGCCAUGACAUGUCAUUACUAUACUCCUGCCAUGACAUGUCAUUACUAUACUCCUGCCAUGACAUGUCAUUACAUACUCCUGCCAAGACAUGGCAUUUCCUAUUAUCCUGCCCAGACAUGGCAUUACUAUACUCCUGCCAUUGACAUGUAAUCACUAUACUUCCUUGCCAAGACAUGUCAUACUAUAAUCCCGCCAUGACAUGUAAUCACUAUACUCCUGCCAUGACAUGUAAUCACCUACUCCUGCCAUGACAUCUAAUCACCCUACUCCUGCCAUGACAUGUCAUUACUAUACUCCUGCCAUGACAUGUAAUUACUAUACUCCUGCCAUGACGUCAUUACUAUACUCCUGCCAUGGCAUGUCAUUACUAUACUCCUGCCAAGACAUGUCAUUACUAUACUCCAGCCAUGACAUGUCAUUACUAUACUCCUGCCAUGGCAUGUCAUUAUAUAACAUCUAAUACGCAUCGAUACGGGCAAUACAAAAUGUCCUCUGGCUUGUCUCUCCCAGCUGAUCCUGUCCUCCCCUUUCACUCAGACUGAAUGCAGUUCCUGGAAGGUCUUGUGUGCCCUUUCCUAGAGGGAAAGGAGAAAAGAAUGGAUGAG
rnacentral:lncRNA from 1 species